GUGCGCGCACACGACCAGCACCUGCGCGUGGACGAGCGCGUCGUCGAAACGUCGCCGGAAAGUCCACAUGGGCAGCGUCCUCCUCUCGGCCAGCAGCUUGUAGUACCGCGAUGAGAAAGAUGCCAACCUCGACUUCGCCGCAGUCGCACUGCUCGCCUUCCUCCACGUAGCUGUUGCCGCACUUCUGCCCGCCGUAGAGCACCUUGACCUCGGGCAUGUUGAACAGACACAUGCCCACGCCCUUCUCCAAGCUGGCCGCCAGGUCCUUCUUGCUGCAGCUGCUGAACACGCUUCUCCUCACGCUGGAGCCUAUCCCAGCCAUGUUCGGGCGGGAGGCGAGCUACGCCCUGAACCGGUCGCCGGCCAAUCGCAGGGCGCAUAGAAACAAACAACCUUGAGCAGUCACACCCACGGAGGCACCGUAAAUAGGGAGACACCACAGCUGGAAUUUUGGACCGAAGAAGACUUUUGGAUGAAAGGCCUUCUGAAGCGCAAAUAUGAAGACUCCGUUGGCUGCACCAAACGGCACCACUUGAAAUGUCUUCUACUCAUCAACUUCCCACCAGUCGCCACUCCAAAACCGAAGGCCUCGUCUAAUUAACCGUGGACGGCGCGGUCCACCUUGUUAAGUAAGCGCCGCUCUGAGCAUCAAAAUAAUUGGAACUUCUGAGAUGUUACAUUCAAAAGAGCGCCUGGCCCCCACUCAAAAAAAAAAAAAAGCUUUUGAAGGAAGUAGUUAAAAGGAAGAGACGCGUGGCUAAUGAAUCAGAGUAUCACAGGCUAACAGUUCAUGGGCCAUCAGGACAUCUUAACUGCACAGGCAAUGGUUGAAGUCACUUUUUAACAUUCUUCACCACCAUAAAGAAGUGAACUGCUCUGUCAUUCGACGAUAGCCUAUAAGCCCAAUUAAGGGACAGAACGCUGCCUCCAACGGUGAAAAUCUGUAUGAAUGCCACGGGAUGGUGGCGAAGCACAUAAAACAAAGCAUCCACACCAUGCUUCGAGCAUGUACACAGUCAACGAAGCCAGGGAACGUAAGUGACUCGA